rnacentral:rRNA from 1 species
UACGGGGGGGCAAGCGUUGUUCGGAAUUACUGGGCGUAAAGGGCUCGUAGGUGGCCAACUAAGUCGGACGUGAAAUCCCUCAGCUUAACUGGGAACUGCGUCCGAUACUGGAUGGCUUGAGUUUGGGAGAGGGAUGCGGAAUUCCAGGUGUAGCGGUGAAAUGCGUAGAUAUCUGGAGGAACACCGGUGGCGAAGGCGGCAUCCUGGACCAACACUGACACUGAGGAGCGAAAGCCAGGGGAGCAAACGGG